GGGAACGUGCCUUCUGGUUCGGAAUAACUCAGGGAAACUUGAGCUAAUACCGGAUACGCCCUUUUGGGGAAGGGUUUACUGCCGGAAGAUCGGCCCGCGUCUGAUUAGCUAGUUGGUGGGGUAACGGCCUACCAAGGCGACGAUCAGUAGCUGGUCUGAGAGGAUGAUCAGCCACACUGGGACUGAGACACGGCCCAGACUCCUACGGGAGGCAGCAGUGGGGAAUAUUGGACAAUGGGCGCAAGCCUGAUCCAGCCAUGCCGCGUGAGUGAUGAAGGCCUUAGGGUUGUAAAGCUCUUUUAUCCGGGACGAUAAUGACGGUACCGGAGGAAUAAGCCCCGGCUAACUUCGUGCCAGCAGCCGCGGUAAUACGAAGGGGGCUAGCGUUGCUCGGAAUCACUGGGCGUAAAGGGCGCGUAGGCGGUCUUUUAAGUCGGGGGUGAAAGCCUGUGGCUCGACCACAGAAUUGCCUUCGAUACUGGGAGACUUGAGUUCGGAAGAGGUUGGUGGAACUGCGAGU
rnacentral:rRNA from 1 species